GGUUGAAGGUUGGGUAACACUAACUGGAGGACCGAACCGACUAAUGUUGAAAAAUUAGCGGAUGACCUGUGGCUGGGGGUGAAAGGCCAAUCAAACCGGGAGAUAGCUGGUUCUCCCCGAAAGCUAUUUAGGUAGCGCCUCGUGAAUUCAUCUCCGGGGGUAGAGCACUGUUUCGGCUAGGGGGCCAUCCCGGCUUACCAACCCGAUGCAAACUGCGAAUACCGGAGAAUGUUAUCACGGGAGACACACGGCGGGUGCUAACGUCCGUCGUGAAGAGGGAAACAACCCAGACCGCCAGCUAAGGUCCCAAAGUCAUGGUUAAGUGGGAAACGAUGUGGGAAGGCCCAGACAGCCAGGAUGUUGGCUUAGAAGCAGCCAUCAUUUAAAGAAAGCGUAAUAGCUCACUGGUCGAGUCGGCCUGCGCGGAAGAUGUAACGGGGCUAAACCAUGCACCGAAGCUGCGGCAGCGAACGUAUCACCCAAGACAACUUUACGGAGUUGACGAUUGACGGAGCGAAGCGACGUCAAAGCGUUCAUUAAAGUCGAGUUGGCUUAGGGAUACGUUCGUUGGGUAGGGGAGCGUUCUGUAAGCCUGUGAAGGUGUGUCGUGAGGCAUGCUGGAGGUAUCAGAAGUGCGAAUGCUGACAUAAGUAACGAUAAAGCGGGUGAAAAGCCCGCUCGCCGGAAGACCAAGGGUUCCUGUCCAACGUUAAUCGGGGCAGGGUGAGUCGACCCCUAAGGCGAGGCCGAAAGGCGUAGUCGAUGGGAAACGGGUUAAUAUUCCCGUACUUGGUGUUACUGCGAAGGGGGGACGGAGAAGGCUAUGUUGGCCGGGCGACGGUUGUCCCGGUUUAAGCGUGUAGGUGUGUGUUCCAGGUAAAUCCGGUUCACUUUAACACUGAGGCGUGACGACGAGGCACUACGGUGCUGAAGCAACAAAUGCCCUGCUUCCAGGAAAAGCCUCUAAGCAUCAGGUAACAUCAAAUCGUACCCCAAACCGACACAGGUGGUCAGGUAGAGAAUACCAAGGCGCUUGAGAGAACUCGGGUGAAGGAACUAGGCAAAAUGGUGCCGUAACUUCGGGAGAAGGCACGCUGACACGUAGGUGAAGUGAUUUACUCA
rnacentral:rRNA from 1 species